rnacentral:lncRNA from 1 species
CCAGUUAUACUCUAUCCCUUGACAAUAUAACCUUUGUAAACUUGAAGCCCUAGUUACACUUCUACUCGUGGUCGUAUAAUCAUCGUCAAUUGGGAUCUUAAGUUGUGAUGCGAUCUCGACUUCUUAAGUGAUGGCUCCAUCCUUACAUAAUAGAUGAAAUUUGCAGGUCAUCGAGCUCUAUGACAUCACCGUGAACCCAAA